CUUACAACGUCUAUUUUUAGUGAAAUUUUUCAUUUAUUUGUGAAAAUGAUAAUUAAAUUAAUGAAUUUGAUGUCUUUUUGGUUAUACAUUUAUUUAAAUCAACACUAAUCUAAAUCGAGUACAACGUUAUUCAACUGUGCUUCUCUCAGUGGGAAAUAUUAAACCCGGAUUUGGCUUCCAAAUAUGUUCAAAUAUUCAACAACUCUUUACUUGGAGCAACUUUUUUCAGAAGCUGUGAAACUUUAUCAAAUAUAUGGCCAUGUGAUGUUUAUUCACAUGUCACAAGAUCAAGCAGUUGUGAUUAACACGUUGAAAGUUGGUACCAAAAAUGGAUAGGAAUCCAGAAUAAAGAUGAAGCUAAAGUCUGAAUAAACUUCUCACAGAAUAGAUAGUCCUUCGGCUAUUAAUCUGUUAACAUUACCUGAUGAUCAUUCUGAUUGCUAUUAUCAUCGUCAUCAUCACCAUCAUUUAUUAUCACAAUUACUAUGACGAUAGGAAUUAUUAUUAUUUGUCCUAAAUAUCUUUUAACCAAAUUUACAACUUUCAAAGCCUAGUUAAUCAAAUUUAUGAUCAAUUCACAUUGAAGGGGCAAGUCAUCACAACCAUCAUCUUGCAAGAUUGGCUCCCGUUGAGAUGUUUGUUACCCUUGUUCACUGUAAAUAUGACCAUCAUCUAGAGCCCCGUAGCCUCCCUUAAAUGGACCACCUUCUCCACUAAUAGCAUCUUCAUCAUCAAUAUCAUCUUGGCUUCCUCUUCACUAAUUCAUCGUCUAAGCCUAUCCAAAUGAAAGCUUAACCUCAAGCUAUUGCAUUACUGAAUGAAGAUCAAGUUAAUGAUGAAAUGUAUUGACUUUAAUAUGCUAUUGGACUGAUGGUGAAGAUGGACUUGACCUGGUUCAACGGUAAACAUAAAAUGUUUGCACUCAAAUUGGUUGCAAGAAAGUUACAAUAAAGAUGAAUUAAGUUGAAAAUAGCGAAAUUUUUCAACAUUAUUUUACUCUUUCACCAUCUUAAAUUGUUGUGUUUGUAAACAUUUAAUGACAUUAAUUACAAUUAUGAUAUUUAUACUGUAAUUAACAUUGAUUCAUUGAAUGUAAUAGAUGAUAAUUGUUGAAAGGGUUAGGUUGUUAAUUAUAUCUGUAAUAAUAGCAAAACAACAAUGAACAAAUGGCAGCGAGCAUUUUUUUUAAAGAAAUGAUCGAAAAUGGUUUACUAAUAAAUCAUUUUGCUUCUUCA